UGGGGAAUUUUGGACAAUGGGGGCAACCCUGAUCCAGCCAUGCCGCGUGCGGGAAGAAGGCCUUCGGGUUGUAAACCGCUUUUAGCCGGGACGAAAGCGCCACGGAUAACACCCGUGGUGGUUGACGGUACCGGCGGAAUAAGCACCGGCUAACUACGUGCCAGCAGCCGCGGUAAUACGUAGGGUGCGAGCGUUAAUCGGAAUUACUGGGCGUAAAGCGUGCGCAGGCGGUUCGUUGUGUCGGCGGUGAAAGCCCCGGGCUCAACCUGGGAAUGGCCGUUGAAACUGGCGAACUGGAGUGUGGCAGAGGGGGGUGGAAUUCCGCGUGUAGCAGUGAAAUGCGUAGAGAUGCGGAGGAACACCGAUGGCGAAGGCAGCCCCCUGGGCUGACACUGACGCUCAGGCACGAAAGCGUGGGGAGCAAACAGG
rnacentral:rRNA from 1 species